rnacentral:rRNA from 1 species
UACGUAGGGUGCGAGCGUUGUCCGGAAUUAUUGGGCGUAAAGGGCUCGUAGGCGGUCUGUUGCGUCGGGUGUGAAAACUCAGGGCUUAACUCGGAACGGCCAAGUGAAACUGUCAAGCUAGAGUGCAGAAGGGGCAAUCGGAAUUCUUGGUGUAGCGGUGAAAUGCGUAGAUAUCAAGAGGAACACCUGAGGUGAAGACGGGUUGCUGGGCUGACACUGACGCUGAGGCGCGAAAGCCAGGGGAGCAAACGGG